rnacentral:rRNA from 1 species
GACGGGGGAUGCAAGCGUUAUUCGGAAUUAUUGGGCGUAAAGCGUCUGUAGGUGGUGAGGAAAGUAUGAUGUUAAAGACCAGGGCUCAACUCUGGGAGUGCAUUGUAAACUAUCUCACUUGAGUUCGGUAGGGGCAGGGAGAAUUCCCAGUGUAGCGGUGAAAUGCGUAGAUAUUGGGAGGAAGACCAGUGGCGAAGGCGUCCUGCUGGGCCGUAACUGACACUCAGAGACGAAAGCUAAGGGAGCAAAUAGGAUUAGAUACCCUAGUAGUCUUAGCUGUAAACGAUGCACACUAUGUUUUGCUUCAGAGCAAUAGCUAACGCGUUAAGUGUGCCGCCUGGGGAGUACAUUCGCAAGGAUG